GCUGCGGUGUCCGAGUGGUUAAGGAGUUGGACUCGAAAUCCAAUGGGUUGGUUGUUCCCGCAUAGGUUCGAAUCCUAUCCGCAGCG